rnacentral:rRNA from 1 species
GGCGUGUCGUCAGCUCGUGUCGUGAGAUGUUGGUUAGUCCGUAACGAGCGCAACCCUUGUCCUUAGUUACCAGCACGUUAUGGUGGGCACUCUAAGGAGACUGCCGGUGACAAACCGGAGGAAGGUGGGGAUGACGUCAAGUCAUCAUGGCCCUUACGGCCUGGGCUACACACGUGCUACAAUGGUCGGUACAAAGGGUUGCCAAGCCGCGAGGUGGAGCUAAUCCCAUAAAACCGAUCGUAGUCCGGAUCGCAGUCUGCAACUCGACUGCGUGAAGUCGGAAUCGCUAGUAAUCGUGAAUCAGAAUAUCACGGUGAAUACGUUCCCGGGCCUU